rnacentral:rRNA from 1 species
AACGUACGCUGGCGGCACGCCUAACACAUGCAAGUCGAACGAAGUAGCAAUACUUAGUGGCAGACGGGUGAGUAACAUGUAGGUAUCUGCCCUUUGGCCUGGAAUAACACGAGGAAACUUGUGCUAAUACCGGAUAAGUCUUUACGGAGAAAGCUUUAUGCACCAUUGGAUGAGCCUGCACUUGAUUAGUUUGUUGGUGGGGUAAUGGCCUACCAAGACUGUGAUCAAUAGCUGAUUUGAGAGGAUGAUCAGCCACAUUGGGACUGAGACACGGCCCAAACUCCUACGGGAGGCAGCAGUGGGGAAUCUUGCACAAUGGAGGAAACUCUGAUGCAGCGAUGCCGCGUGAGUGAAGAAGGCCCUUGGGUUGUAAAGCUCUUUCGUCGGGGAAGAAAAUGACUGUACCCGAAUAAGAAGGUCCGGCUAACUUCGUGCCAGCAGCCGCGGUAAUACGAAGGGACCUAGCGUAGUUCGGAAUUACUGGGCUUAAAGAGUUCGUAGGUGGUUGAAAAAGUUAGUGGUGAAAUCCCAGAGCUUAACUCUGGAACUGCCAUUAAAACUUUUCAGCUAGAGUAUGAUAGAGGAAAGCAGAAUUUCUAGUGUAGAGGUGAAAUUCGUAGAUAUUAGAAAGAAUACCAAUUGCGAAGGCAGCUUUCUGGAUCAUUACUGACACUGAGGAACGAAAGCAUGGGUAGCGAAGAGGAUUAGAUACCCUCGUAGUCCAUGCCGUAAACGAUGUGUGUUAGACGUUGGAAAUUUAUUUUCAGUGUCGCAGGGAAACCGAUAAACACACCGCCUGGGGAGUACGACCGCAAGGUUAAAACUCAAAUGAAUUGACGGGGACCCGCACAAGUAGUGGAGCAUGUGGUUUAAUUCGAAGAUACGCGCAGAACCUUACCAACACUUGACAUGUUCGUCGCGACUCUAAGAGAUUAGAGUUUUCGGUUCGGCCGGACGAAACACAGGUGCUGCAUGGCUGUCGUCAGCUCGUGUCGUGAGAUGUUGGGUUAAGUCCCGCAACGAGCGCAACCCUCACUUUUAGUUGCCAUCAUUAAGUUGGGCACUCUGAAAGAACUGCCAGUGAUAAGCUGGAGGAAGGUGGGGAUGACGUCAAGUCCUCAUGGCCCUUACGUGUUGGGCUACACACGUGCUACAAUGGUAUCUACAACAGGAAGCAAGACUGCGAAGUUAAGCAAAUCCCUAAAAGAUACCUCAGUUCGGAUUGCACUCUGCAGCUCGAGUGCAUGAAGCUGGAAUUACUAGUAAUCGUGGAUCAGCGUGCCACGGUGAAUGCGUUCCCGGGUCU